rnacentral:pre_miRNA from 1 species
ACUGCAGUUGCUGAAUCAUAUGCUAAGAGCAUGUUUAGUUUUGUGUGAAACCACUAAACUAUUUUCCAAAGUGGCUGUACCAUUUUGCAUUUCCCCUAGCAAA